GUAGUGCUGAAGAGUCCCAAACUAGGACGAAACAGCUGUCCAGUAC
rfam:Trichobilharzia regenti genome assembly, scaffold: TRE_scaffold0000497